GUUAAAACACCGGUUCUCAUAUGAUCACUGAAGUUAAGCAAUGUUGAGGCUAGUCAGUACCUAGAUGGGUGACGGCUUGAGAAUACCAGGU